AAAUAUUAACGAAUAGUCUGCACAGCCUCUUAAGCCAACUUCUUUUUCUGCUUUAGACCUCUGAAGUAUAUUACAAUAUAUUUUUAUAAACAUAUAAGGUUUUAGCAAUAGUUACUUAGUAACUAACUUGAUUACCAAAUAUUACAGAGAAGUCCAACUACCACAAGAUUUCCCAUGGCUAUGAUCCUCACCGUCAAUUUCCCUGAAACCGCCACAAGUGGAGACGAGGAUGUUUGUUCCGUCUGGUGAGGAGGUUUUCUAAAGUAGUAGGGGAAGUAAGGCAAGAUAGCAUC
rnacentral:lncRNA from 1 species